CCUACGGGAGGCAGCAGUGGGGAAUAUUGGGCAAUGGGCGCAAGCCUGACCCAGCAACGCCGCGUGAAGGAAGAAGGCUUUCGGGUUGUAAACUUCUUUUCUCAGGGACGAAGCAAGUGACGUCACCUGAAGAAUAAGCCACGGCCAACUACGUGCCAGCAGCCGCGGUAAUACGUAGGUGGCAAGCGUUAUCCGGAUGUACUGGGUGUAAAGGGCGUGUAGGCGGGAAAGCAAGUCAGAUGUGAAAACCAUGGGCUCAACCUGUGGCCUGCAUUUGAAACUGUUCUUCUUGAGUACUGGAGAGGCAGACGGAAUUCCUGGUGUAGCGGUGAAAUGCGUAGAGAUUAGGAGGAACACCAGUGGCGAAGGCGGUCUGCUGGACAGCAACUGACGCUGAGGCGCGAAAGCGUGGGGAGCAAACAGGAUUAGAUACCCCAGUAGUC
rnacentral:rRNA from 1 species